AUCCAUCUGACGAGUCCGAAAUAGGAGGAAACGCGCGUCUGAACUGGAU
rfam:Schistosoma rodhaini strain Burundi genome assembly, scaffold: SROB_scaffold0000203